rfam:Marine metagenome 1548952, whole genome shotgun sequence.
AAAACAGUGCCCGCGUCACUCUCCUUUAGAAUCUUUACCCUUUUCUAAAAAUUGUCGUGGGCAUUAAAAA